GUAACCCAUCGGAUACAUCUCUAAAAAGAAAUAUACUAACAGUCACGUCAAGUGAUACUACUCAAUAGCUACACGGGGCAUGUAUGUGUGUGUUUAUAUAUAUAUAUAUAUAUAUAUAUAUAUAUGUUUGUGUAUAAAGGUACUCUUUUUUUUUAUCAAUUAAUUUGCAUAUCACAAACCUGUGGUAGUUAUGAAACAAUUACUGUUGAACUCUGACUCACGCUAUGCGUGCUAUUUAAUACGAGCCGAUAUGUAGAAAAUAUAAAAGGUGUUUGUUGUGACUUGGCUGUCCCUUGAACUCAAUUACCCAUCUCCCAUUUCCUCUGGGGAUGUCAUAGCUCUCAGCGGCCAUCUUAUAGUAGCAUGAGUGGGCGUAAAAGUAUCACUCCCAUAGUUAAAGUGGAACUGACAGCGUUUUAACUACUUUGCGGAUAUGAAACAAACAGACUAUCACAAUAUCAGUAAAAAAUAUACAAUUCCCAGUUUAUGCUACAAAACCAUGAUAAGAAGUUUUAAAAAUAGGUUGUAUUUGACUCAACAUUCCAUGAUGUACACAAAGGCAUUGUUGGUAGAAUGGAUGGAUGCAGUUCAAUACAUGUUUCAUAUAAUUCACCAAUACAUUUCUUGGUAGUCCAAAAAAUAUUGCUAUCAGGUUGUUACAUUGUUUGCUGCCUCCAUUCGGGAUGCACUGUUUCAGUUUCAAUUAUAUUUUGGACAAAAACAGACAUGUAACUAAGGUUGGGAACGUCAAUACAACCGAACUAGCAAAGGCAAUGAUCACAAGUCAGUCAUAAUAGGCUAGCGUAUCUAUUUAUGUAGCAACCUAAAAACACGGAGCCUAACGUUAGCUAGCAAGCUAACUGCUAGGAGGGUGACAUGUCAUGCCAUUGGAGGAGUGGGUGAGUGACUGACAUUUUUCCCUCAUAUACAUAGAGAUGCAGGUGUCAUUUGGUUAGCUAGUGAGAACUUGAACGACUGUUAUCCAGUUAGCAUAUCUCUUGCAUUCAUAAAUUCUCAGAUAACAUGUAAACAGCCUAACCAGCUCUGCUAUGGUGAAUAAAAUAGUCAGAGCAAAGUGUUUAUUUUUGUCUGAAAAUAGCUAGCUAGCAAGCUAACCAACUUUAGCCAGUUAGCUUGGGUGCUUGGUUGGGACAAGCAUGCAUUGGCAGGCAAGCUGCAGAAAGACGAGUAGGCUACAAUUCCUCAUUGUUUAUAGGUGCAAUUUUGACGGCCAACAAAGAGGUUUUAUCUAAUGUUCCCUCGUUAGAUUUUAGCUUAUCUCGUCCUGGCUAACAUUAGUUGUUGAUCUUGUUGUUGUUAAUGUGCAUAUGGAGGGAGAGAGAGCCUACCAUUUCAUGGUUGUUUGAUCAAUAGGACUGUAAUGUUCCCAAAUGUAAGAGGACUCCAGUGGUAUUUACAUGUUAGCAGAAAUCCAUUCAGGUGUAUUUAGUGGCUUUUGGCGAAUGCGUUCUAAUGAUGUAAAGUCGUGCUGUUUUAGCCGCCUGUAAACACACAGUCCAGUUCCAAGUGAAUGAUUGCAGGCCCAUGUGGCAAAUGGCGUGUUUGUAUAAAUGCCUACUGUAGCUCUGAUUGGCUAUAGCGCACCACUCUGUGUAGACUCCGGUCUUGGAUGGGACAGAUGUUUUAUUUACUGCCGUGUCUAUUAAUUGUCCAAACGCACAGCCGCUUCCCCACUUCAUAUUUCUAUAGCAUUUUCACAUACCUUAGUAUAUGUGACUCCCAAAAACUCUAAGAAUUUAUUCAAAGGUGCUCGCUUGUCAGAAAACUUUUAAAAGCGUGUGAUAUUCUUCCUGGGGGUGUAUAUGAACAGAUUUUGAUAUGAUUUCAUGUUGCCAAAAUGCUGUCAAUUCCACUUUAAUGCAUAUUGCAAUUGGUGGACAAAAUCCAUGGUAGUUAGUCAAGGCCAUUAUGGAGGAUAUUGUUGUGAAAUUUACAUGUUUGUUAACUUUUUUUUCAUGAAUGCAACUUUUGUUAUUCUCACUGUAAAUAUACAUUGUUGUCCUAUCUCUAGUGAUAAGCUACAGUGAUAAGCUACAGCUACGGUAUUUCCCAACUCAACAUGGCACUUGACUGAAUUACACAUUUCAUUCACAAGAAACUCUUUCUUCCUCUUUACCCAAUAAGAUACACAGCCCAGAGAGCUGAAGGGUUUAGCACUAUCUGGUCUAACAAUACUGUGGGUGUGGGUGGGUGUCCGUCCUAUCGCUCUUCCCUCCUCAGAGACAGCAAAGACAACUGCCCCCAAUUUAACCCCAGCUGUCCCCACCCACCCAACCUCACCUCGUCACAAUCCACAACAAGCCUCAAGGGUCAGGGUUCACUAAGCCCUGCCACCCACCCCCCCAUCAUGCCCGCUGUGUGUCAGUCAUGUCUUUCCAGACCCCCCCAUCAUCCCCACAUACACACAGUCUAACACGUGUAGCUGUGUGUGUCAGUCAUGUCUUUCCAGACCCCCCCCUCCCCACAUACACACAGUCUAACACGUGUAGCUAUGUGUGUCAGUCAUGUCUUUCCAGACCCCCCCCCCCACAUACACACAGUCUAACACGUGUAGCUAUGUGUGUCAGUCAUGUCUUUCCAGACCCCCCCCCCCCCCACAUACACACAGUCUAACACGUGUAGCUGUGUGUCAGUCAUGUCUUUCCAGACCCCCCCCCUCCCCACAUACACACAGUCUAACACGUGUAGCUAUGUGUGUCAGUCAUGUCUUUCCAGACCCCCCUCCCC
ensembl:lncRNA